UCGGGCCGACCUCACCUACGCGGAGUUCGUGCAGCAGUACGCCUUCGUCAGGCCCGUCAUCCUGCAGGGACUCACGGACAACUCGGUGAGCGCGUGCCCGUCCGUCCCCGGCCACUCUCGCCCGUGCUGGGCCCGGCCACUAAGUCCCCUCCCCGCCCCCGCAGAGGUUCCGGGCCCUGUGCUCCCGCGAAAGGUUGCUGGCUUCGUUUGGGGACAGAGUGGUCCGGCUGAGCACCGCCAACACCUACUCCUACCACAAAGUGGACUUGCCCUUCCAGGAGUAUGUGGAGCAGCUGCUGCACCCCCAGGACCCCACCUCCCUGGGCAAUGACACCCUGUACUUCUUCGGGGACAACAACUUCACCGAGUGGGCCUCUCUCUUUCGGCACUACUCCCCACCCCCAUUUGGCCUGCUGGGAACCGCUCCAGCUUACAGCUUUGGAAUCGCAGGAGCUGGCUCGGGGGUGCCCUUCCACUGGCAUGGGCCCGGGUACUCAGAAGUGAUCUACGGUCGUAAGGUCAGCACGGGGUGGGGGUUGAGGCUUGGGGCUCGCUGACCAAAACGGGCAAGGGUGACACUGCUGCUCAUGCCCCCAGCGCUGGUUCCUUUACCCACCUGAGAAGACGCCAGAGUUCCACCCCAACAAGACCACGCUGGCCUGGCUCCGGGACACAUACCCAGCCCUGCCACCGUCUGCACGGCCCCUGGAGUGUACCAUCUGGGCUGGUGAGGUCAGUGGCUGGCAGGAGAGGGCCAGGCCAGGCUAGAGGCCCGCAGCUAAUCUCUGCUGCACCCCCUUCCUCCACCAGGUGCUGUACUUCCCCGACCGCUGGUGGCAUGCUACGCUCAACCUUGACACCAGCGUCUUCAUCUCCACCUUCCUCGGCUAGCCAAAACAGCUGGCAGGACUACCUGUCACACACCAGCAUGUCCCACCUCGUGCUCACGGAUUUUAUUACACAGAUAGUGGCGGCAGUGGCCUCAGCCCAGCCCACCCUCACCUGCUUUUCCAGCCCACAAAGGGGG
rnacentral:sRNA from 1 species